rnacentral:rRNA from 1 species
UACGUAGGGCGCAAGCGUUGUUCGGAGUUACUGGGCGUAAAGGGUGCGUAGGCGGCUUUUUGAGUUUGGUGUGAAAUCUCCCGGCUCAACUGGGAGGGUGCGCCGAAUACUGAGAAGCUAGAGUGUGGGAGAGGAAAGUGGAAUUCCUGGUGUAGCGGUGAAAUGCGUAGAUAUCAGGAGGAACACCAAUAGCGAAGGCAGCUCGCUGGGACGUUACUGACACUGAGGCGCGAAAGCGUGGGGAGCGAACAGG